UUGGAGGGCAAGUCUGGUGCCAGCAGCCGCGGUAAUUCCAGCUCCAAUAGCGUAUAUUAAAGUUGUUGCAGUUAAAAAGCUCGUAGUUGAAUUUCGGGAUUGACGUGAUGGUCAUGCCUUAAGGGGUAUGAACUGUUACUGUUGAUCUCUCACCUUCUGGAGAAACUUGAUGUCCUUUAUUGGGUGUCUUGCGGAUCCAGGACCUUUACCUUGAAAAAAUUAGAGUGUUUAAAGCAGGCAUUUUUGCUCGAAUACAUUAGCAUGGAAUAAUAGAAUAGGACGGCAUGGCUCUAUUUUGUUGGUUUCUAGGAUCACCGUAAUGAUUAAUAGGGAUAGUUGGGGGCAUUAGUAUUCAAUUGUCAGAGGUGAAAUUCUUGGAUUUAUUGAAGACUAACUACUGCGAAAGCAUUUGCCAAGGAUGUUUUCAUUAAUCAAGAACGAAAGUUAGGGGAUCGAAGACGAUCAGAUACCGUCGUAGUCUUAACCAUAAACUAUGCCGACUAGGAAUCAGACGAUGUUAAUUUUUGAAUGACUCGUUUGGCACCUUACGGGAAACCAAAGUGUUUGGGUUC
rnacentral:rRNA from 1 species